GAUGAUGAUAAUGACAGUGAUUUUCCAGGAAUGAUGUAAAAAUUGACUAUAAAACCUAUGGAAUUACUUAGCCCCUUUGAUAGGCAUUCUGUGAAUGUUAAUUUCCACUACCUGUUCAUUUCCUCGUUUGCUAUCAUUUCACUGAGUCUAAGCUAUCCCAACUUGCUUUCAGAGCUUUUCUCUACCACGGCUCUCCUCUCCUGUAUAUUCAUAUACUCCAGCAUGCUCUUCUCCUUGAUAUUCUGUGAACAUGUCAAAAACACUCUUGCAUCAGGGCCUUUGCACUUGCUGUUUCCUCAGCUUCGAAAGAUCUUUCACAGAUGUCCAAAUUGUUUGUUCCCUAGUUCCCUGGAGAGAGACCUGUUCUAACCACUGUGUGUACAUUAUUCACCUCAUCUGCCAUCAUUUUCUAUUUCCUUUACCCUGUUGUGUUUGUCUUCAUAAAAUGUAUCCUGGGUGUGUAGAAUACAUAGUAGAAGCUCAAUACAUACGUGACUGAAUAAAUGAAUGGCAUGAUCAUUUCUUUUGUGAUCUUUAAUUCAGCUGGAAGUUAAGUGUAGGUAUAUGGGCAUGUUUUUCCAUAAAGGGAAUCCAUAGUGGAAUCUGAACUUGAUUGUUUUUAGAUUUAGUUUUAAUUUAAUAAUUGCCUACUGUAUGCUAGGCAUCCUAGACUUUUAAAUUUUUCUCAUAUUGUGAUCUGUUUCGCUCAGGUGAUGUCUUUUUUUCAGGCACUGUGCUGAGCUCUGGGUCUGAGUCUCAACUCUCCCCCUUUCUCACUGUGUGGAUGGGCUAAGUGAUUUCCUCUCUUCUCCCCCAGUCUCGACCUUUGCAACCUGAGGAUUAAUCCUGACUCACAGCGUGGUUGUGAAGAUUAAAUGACAAAACAAAUAUAAGAUCAUUAGCAUAGUGUCUGGCACAUACUAGUUGCACAAUAAAUGAUAGCCACUGUUGCAGGAUUUAGGUGGCUGAGAUGGUGCAAAAGAAAAUCACCAAUGUCAGUGGGAGGAACAGGUUGUUUUAGUGUUUUAAAGUGAAAUGAUGGGUAGAGUCUAAAAGAGGAAAGAUUAUAGUUAAACGUUAGUUUUUUUCUAGAAGCUUCAGGUGGCAAAAUUGUAUUAAAGAGGGCAUAUUUUGUUAAAAUAGUCCAAGCGUAGAAGUGAUAAGGAGACAGAAGUUCUGUGGACCUAAAAGGUAGAUAAUAUUUGGGGAGAAUUCUCUUUAGGGCAGCACACCCAGGAAGUGCUCAAUGAAAGCUUAGUGACUGAGUGGUAAAUAGAUACCAUUUGUGGAGAGAGUCAUUUAGGCUGGAGCUUCCCAAACCUGGCAUACAUCAGGAUCAUCUAAGCCCUGUAGUCUACCUACAAAAUAGACUUCUUGGAAUAGUGUCUGGGGAGUCUUGAAAUGCUGAAAGUUCUCAUGUAAUUCUGAGACACAGCCAGC
rnacentral:lncRNA from 1 species